rnacentral:rRNA from 1 species
UGGGCAACCUGCCCUCAGCUCUGGGAUAACUCCAAGAAAUUGGGGCUAAUACCGGAUAUGACCGCUGACCGCAUGGUCUGGUGGUGGAAAGAUUUAUCGGCUGGGGAUGGGCCCGCGGCCUAUCAGCUUGUUGGUGGGGUAGUGGCCUACCAAGGCGACGACGGGUAGCCGGCCUGAGAGGGUGACCGGCCACACUGGGCCUGAGACACGGCCCAGACUCCUACGGGAG